AUUUUUGGAGACUCCUGGUCUGGAAUGGCCGUGUUCUGAAUGUCUGGAGUAAGUAGGAGGCUCAUCCUGGAGAGCUGGAAGUGCAGAUUUCUUCAAAUACAUGAAAGAAUCUAGUCAGACCUACCAUCUGCUUGGUAUUGCUGAAACCAGCAGAGGCUACAAAGUCUGUUCAUAGGUCAGUCUGUUGACACUUGACAAAGAUCCUGCUGUGUGUGUGGUAUUGAAUCUCUCAAAGUUGAAGUCUCAAAACUUAGAUGCUGGAAAACUAUUGGUAAAAAUAAAUUUUAAAAAAUUUUAAAAAUUA